CAGUCGAACGAAACUUCUUUAUCACCGAGUGCUUGCACUCACCGAUAAAGAGUUGAGUGGCGAACGGGUGAGUAACACGUGGGCAACCUGCCCAAAAGAGGGGGAUAACACUUGGAAACAGGUGCUAAUACCGCAUAACCAUAGUUACCGCAUGGUAACUAUGUAAAAGGUGGCUAUACUACCGCUUUUGGAUGGGCCCGCGGCGCAUUAGCUAGUUGGUAGGGUAAAGGCUUACCAAGGCAAUGAUGCGUAGCCGAAUUGAGAGGUUGAUCGGCCACAUUGGGACUGAGACACGGCCCAAACUCCUACGGGAGGCAGCAGUAGGGAAUCUUCCACAAUGGGCGAAAGCCUGAUGGAGCAACGCCGCGUGGGUGAAGAAGGUCUUCGGAUCGUAAAACCCUGUUGUUAGAGAAGAAAGUGCGUGAGAGUAACUGUUCACGUUUCGACGGUAUCUAACCAGAAAGCCACGGCUAACUACGUGCCAGCAGCCGCGGUAAUACGUAGGUGGCAAGCGUUAUCCGGAUUUAUUGGGCGUAAAGGGAACGCAGGCGGUCUUUUAAGUCUGAUGUGAAAGCCUUCGGCUUAACCGGAGUAGUGCAUUGGAAACUGGGAGACUUGAGUGCAGAAGAGGAGAGUGGAACUCCAUGUGUAGCGGUGAAAUGCGUAGAUAUAUGGAAGAACACCAGUGGCGAAAGCGGCUCUCUGGUCUGUAACUGACGCUGAGGUUCGAAAGCGUGGGUAGCAAACAGGAUUAGAUACCCUGGUAGUCC
rnacentral:rRNA from 1 species